rnacentral:ncRNA from 1 species
GGUUGGGCGCAAGCUUUCAAGGAUCAAGUUCUUCAAGGGGUGAGAAGAA